GGGGCUCUGAGGGCUCAGGAGGACCCAGGGGCUCGGGCCGGGGCUCAGUGUCCCCCCGGUGUCCCCCCGGUGCCAGAGGACCAGGCUGCAGCUCACGUCCCCCCCUGCACCAGAAGCGGCUUUGGGACAGAGGAAUCCUCGAGGAAAAAAAAAUAAGAAGAAUCCAACCCUGCGUUUAAAUAAAGACGGGUGAUAAUUUCAUUAUCAGGAUAAGACUUUGGGUGGGAAAAACGCUGGAGAAUUUUCGCAUCGCUGGAGGGUGUCUGCGCUCUCACGACCGGGGAUACUGCAGUCGUUUGGAAAGGACGAAGAGGUAGGAACCUGGAGCUGCUUAGGAUCGGGAAUGACUGGAUUAUAGCUUCCAACUAAAGAAAAAAACAUCAAGAAUCAUGCAUUUUAAAAACAGUUUAUUCAACGGCCAAGGACAAUGAUCCGGCACAAUGUAACGGCAGAUAUAAAUAUAACCUUAUAUAAGUGGUUGACCCUUGUCAUUAUUAUUUUUAAUAGCUUCAUACCUAAUAUUUUAACCAUUUCCCCCCGCAGAACCGACUCUGCGAAUUAUAUUUUUUUUCUCCCCUCCCUUUUUCUUUCAUUUUUUUAAAAUUUAUUUUCUAAAUCUUUUUUUUUUAAUUCUUUUUUUCUUUUUUUUUUUCCUUC
rnacentral:lncRNA from 1 species